rnacentral:rRNA from 1 species
UACAGAGGGCGCGAGCGUUGUCCGGAAUCAUUGGGCGUAAAGGGUGCGUAGGUGGCGCCGUAAGUCGGGUGUGAAAUUUCGGAGCUUAACUCCGAAACUGCAUUCGAUACUGCGGUGCUUGAGGACUGGAGAGGAGACUGGAAUUCAUGGUGUAGCAGUGAAAUGCGUAGAUAUCAGAUAGAACACCAAUGGCGAAGGCAGUUGCCUGGCUCAAAACUGACGCUAAAGCACGAAAGUGUGGGGAGCAAACAGG